CUCGACUACACACGAUUUUAAAAGAAACACAGGAAAACAGAAAGUAACAACUGAUAUAAUAUAAUCAAUCGUCAAAUUUCGAAACAAGACUCGAGUACAUACGAUUUUAAACGAAACACAGAAAAAAGAGAAAGUGACAACUGAUACAACAUAGAAAGAAAGGAUCCAUAAGCAAGAUCAAUGCUAUCUAUCUUAUUCUUAAUUCUCCUCAUGAAACCAAAUUCUGAUGAUCAGCUUUACUGAACUCUGCAUUGAUAAUGAACAAAACCAACAUUAAUAAUAAUAAUGAUGAUAACAAAAACAUAAUGUACUAACUAUAAUAGUAUUUUUUUUAUUAUAUAAUUACAUAUAUAAAUAUUUUGAAACUAAUAUUUCUUAACAGUAAAAUAUAAAUAAAAAAAUGCACUUAUUUUUUGAGAAAACCAAACACACUUGUAGGUGCUAGCACAUAUCAUUUUUUUGUUACUUUAUUUUUCAUACUACGAAGAGUUAGGUGUUGUUAUAGGUAAAAAAAGAUGAAAAAUUUAACAUACUUAGAGCAGUCAGUAGAGGGGCUGAUCUUGUAAGGGAUGUUGACACUACAAGUGUUAGGGAGAGCAGCAGCUUUGCCCAAAUUGAGUCCUGUAAAAGAAGAAGCAGCUGAUUUUAGGCAAGUGCAUGCGGCCUGUCGGUCUACUGUAGUCUUGGCUUGACCCAAAAGACCCUUAACACCAUCACAACAGUUUCUGAGAGGACCGCGGUUCAUUAGAUAAGGGAGACAAGGAGCCAAGGUAGAUGUAACUUGACCACAAGUUAAAGCCUCUGCAUGGGGUGCAACCACUACCAUGCAUAAAAGCACAAAGCAUGCAAUCUUGUUAACCAUUUCCAUUCUUAAUGAUUUAUGAAAAUUAGAAUAGUAAUUAUGAGGUUUAUGAGGAAGUAGUGGAUGAGAAGAAAUGUGUUUUGGUUGAGUGUUUUUAUAGAGGGAAAUUUGGAGUAGAUGGCCAAUGGAGGAGUGAGAGAGGUAGUUGGUUGUUAGGUUGAAAAUUUAAAGCAUUUUUAUGGUUGUACAUUAUUUUGCUGGCUCUAAAGUCAUGUGGUAGCUAGUUCUAACAUCUUACGUGUAGGAGUUUUUUUUUUCUCACCAAAGUUCCCAUAAAUAGAUUCCUCGAUCAAUGUAGGACUUUUACCUACUUUAAUAUCCCUUUUUUUACGUAGAUCCAAUUGAGAUGUGGAUCGAAAAUUCAAACAGGAAUGAAUAUAACUCUAAUAUCAUGUUAAGAUAUGUUUUUUAGAUCUAAUUUAAUAAUAAAUGCUAGCUUAUGAGAGGAGUAUUGUCCACAUCCUUAUAAGUAAAUCAUCAGUUUAUUUCCUGAUUAACGUGAGACUUUUACCUACUCUAACAGUUUGAUCGAAGAUUUUUUUUAAAAAAAAAUUAUGAAGUUAUAGAGUUAAAGAUGAAAUUGUAUUGGAUAAUACUUUUACGAAAGAAUAAAAAUGAUGUGAUUAUAGCUUUAAAAAUAAAAAAAAUAAUUAAGAUUUUAAAUACAACUUCAAGUUAAAUAUUUUACGACCAUAAAUUUAAAUUUGGGAAGUGACGAAGUUUAUUUUACUUCUGGCGUUCUUAGCUGGAUUACAACAACGUUUAAUUAAUCAAGGUCUUCAUUAGUGUUUAGACACUUAACCACCCAAGUCUUUAAUGCUUUUUCUACUUACCAGCUUUAUCUCUUAAAAAUUGAUACAAAAUGACUACGUAUUAUAUUUUAUAAAGUUGAAAAUGUGUUCCAUUUUCUUUUUCAAAAUUAUCCUUAACACGUUCCUUAUUAAAUGUAUACAUUUAGAAAUAAUCAUAUCAAUACACGAUCAAUAGUUAUAACGUAUACUUGUUUCUUAGUAUUUCUUAACCCUUUAAUCACCAAAGAUGACGGUGGUUUUAUAAAUAGGCAUUUCAUUAAUAUAGAUUUUGAGUUUAAAUCAUAUUAAUUAUAAAGUCAUAUUAGUCAUUUUUUUAUGGUACCAACACUACAAUUAAUUACCGCUACAAUAUGCAUUUUUAGCGGGAAUUUAACACUCUUUAUAUAUGUUUCUAAAGUCUUUAGCGACAUUGAUUUUAACGACAUUUAACUAAUGCAGGUAAAGACUUUAACACUCUUUGUUAAUGUCAGCAUUUAUUACCGUCAAAAGCUGUUUUUUGUGGUAGUGCAAUUUAGGAUAAAAAGUCUUACAUCGAUCAAAUACAUGAAAGAUACUUUUCGUUUUUUAAGAGUCAAACAAUUUAAGUUUGACUAGUAAUUUACACACGGAAUUUUCUUUUUAUUGAAAUGAAAUGUAUAUAUAUACUUAUAAACUACGUAAAAGUAUUAUAAGUCAUAAUUCAAAAUAUUUUUAAAAUGUAUAAAAAAUUUACGAUUAAAAUAGAUUUGUUUGAAUCUCGAUAUUCAAAAAGUGUCACAUAAAAUGAGACGAAUGGAAUAUAUAUAUAAUACGUUAGUGAUGCGUUAUAAAAUUAUAUGGGCUUAAAUCUAAAAUGGACAAUAUUACUAAUGACUUGAACCUUUAAAAAUGAUAUCUGUUCAACUCAUGUGUCAUCUUUAUUGAUAUAUAUGGACCAAAGCUCUACAUAUAGGCAAAAUCUCAUGUGGUGGAGUAAACCACUGCGUCUAUAUAAGAGGAGGUGCAUGUGAAACCCCAGAUAAAAAGUGUAACAUCAACAAAAUCAAUUGAUGAAAACAUAAAUUAUAUAAAUAAGCAAAUUUUACAUUUUAAUGACAUAUUUUAAAAUCGCGCAGACCUAGAUUUAACUAGAUUCAGGUAGGAAAAAAGAAACAGAACCUGACACUUUGACGUUUCUUAUAUGUUGCACAAAGUGUUGAUUGCUAAUUGGACCACGAAUUCAGCUAUAUUAUUACAUGCUUUCUCUUGGUCCAUGUAGUAUAAAUUUGUGUCGGUCCCAAUAUUAAUUUGGUAGAAGUUGAGUAAAGAUUUGAGCCACCCAAACUCAUUAAUUAGGCCAAACAAGAGGAAAUUUCUUUGAGACAUAUAGUCUUACCUAGAGGCCUAUAAUUUGGUGUAUAAUGUGGGGAUAUGUUUCACAUGUAUGAGUAUUAUAAAGUUUAUAUAAGUUUUAUAUAAAUGAUUUUCUUUAAGAUAAUAAAAUAAUAUUUACUGACCUUUCCAGAUUGGAUUAUUUUUUGACCUAUAAUUUUAGGUUGAUUUUCUCUGAGUUGUUUCAUAUAUCAAUUUUGACUAUUUGUUUAAAUAGUGUAUUAAUAAUACGAGGUUGUGUAUUGAUUGGUGUGGUUCGAUUUGAGAAUUUAUCAGUUUUAUUUAUUGAUUAUUGGUUUGUAAUCAUAUUUUAACCGUUAUUGAACAGUUAAAAUAUUAAUUUAUCGAUUAUUGGAUUAUUAGUUAGUGAUCGCUAUCGAUUUGAUUAUUGGAUUAACAGUUCAAACAAUUCCCAUUGAGAAUUACUAAUGGACUAAUCACUCAUUACAAUACGCAGUAGUCAGUAGUCACUAUGAACUUUCCCCGGUUAGUCUAUCUACAUAAAAUACUUAAUGAAACUCCAUAUUAAUUCAAAUAGAGAUGUCAAUAUUGCCCAAACUAGCAAAUUCAAAAGGAUUUCUCAUAACAACCAAGCCAAUUUUGAUAUGAACUAUAAAGAGAAACCAUUACGACACUGCUAACAAAAAUCAUUAAUGAUCAUGAGACUUACUAAUAAAAGCUUUUUCGUUUGCAAAUUCUAGCAUAGGGCGAUAUACAGACAUAUCUCAUUGACUCACUCACUGUAACUAGAAGAUAAAAACAAACACUUAAAGUAAGGGAACCAACCAUCUUAACCUCAAUUUUAGACACUUAGAAAAUGCUAUUCAGUAUAACUUUUUGGCGUGGGAGCAGUGACAGUGAAUUAAUGAGUGAUGUCGCAACUCUAAAAAUUCCUAAGGCCUUAAGUGAUAUAAAUGUAAGAUACUAAACUUGUUAUUAGGUUAUCACGACACUCAAUUAGAAAUAUGGCUAAACCGAAAUCCAAAUCGGUAAGACGAUGAAAAGUUUAUAAUAAAUUGAGAUUCGAACCGUUAAAUUAUUAAUCUGAAUCUUUGACCCAAUAAUAAAUAUCAAUCUCGAUUUGAUUUGAUCAGCUCUAUGGUGAUAUUUCAAAUAAAAAUCAUGAAGUUAAAUUAAAAAUUGUUGUUUUUUAAGUUGCCACCUAAUGCAUGGAAGAACUUGAUUAAAAAAGUGUCACGACCCAAAUCCGGGCCGCGACUGGCACCACACUUACCCUCCUAUGUGAGCGAACCAACCAAUCUAACCUUAACAUUUCAAUAUAAUAUCAACAGAAAGUAAUGCGGAAGACUUAAACUCAUUAAAUAAAGACCAAUUCAUUAACUUCUAAAAUUCAACAUCUAUUAUUCCCCAAAAUCUGGAAGUCAUCAUCACAAGAACAUCUACGAUCAAACGACUAAACUAAGAGUAUUCUAAAAGCUAAAAAUACAUAAGAAGCUAGUCCAUGCAGGAAGUUCAAGGCAUCAAGACUUGAAGAAGAAGAUCCAGUCCAAGCUAGAAGCAUUAGCUCACCCUGAAUUUCCGAUGUAGCAAGACUGACUUGAAUUACUGUUGAGUUGAAGACGAUGGCACGUUUGCUGCACUCCACAAAUAAACAAGAAGAGAACAUAAAAGUAGGGGUCAGUACAAAACACGGGUACUGAGUAGAUAUCAUCGGCCAACUCAAAAUAGAAAUCAAUAUAUACCAAGUAAUAUCAUAAAAUCAACUAUGAUACUCAACAUGUAGCAACAACAAAUACUAUAUCGUUAACAAUUACCGUCAAGUUCACACAUGAGGACUCAAGCCUCGAUACCAUACUCAUUUGGGAAUCAUGUUCAUUAGAUUGAGUAUAUUAACAUCUUUCAAGAUUCAUUAUCUUUAUUUCUCUGUGUCGGUACGUGACACUCCGCUCCCUCAAUAUUCAUUAAUCCUCUUGUGUCGGUACGUGACACUCCGAUCCCCUAAAUCUAUGUGUCGGUUCGUGACACCCGAUCCCCUAAAUCUAUGUGUCGGUUCGUGACACCCGAUCCCCUAAAUCUACGUGUCGGUUCGUGACACCCGAUCCCCUAUACUACGUGUCGGUUCAUGACACCCGAUCCCUAAAUCUAUGUGUCGGUUCGUGACACCCGAUCCCCUAAUUCUACGUGUCGGUUCGUGACACCCGAUCCCCUAAUACUACGUGUCGGUUCGUGACACCCGAUCCCCUAAUUCUACGUGUCAGUUCGUGACACCCGAUCCCGAGCCAUCCAAUGGUUCGUGCACACGACUCAUAAUCUCUAUGUCGGUUCGUGACACCCAUCCCCAAAUGUCUACGUGUCGUGUUUCGUGACACCCGAUCCCCUAAUCUAUACGUUGUCGGUUAUGACACCCUCCCUUCACGUGUCAGUUCGUGACACCCGAUCCUACUUAAUUCUACGUGUCGGUUCGUGACACCCGAUCCCUAAUCUCCUUCCAUCAAUUCAUCAAGCCUUCUUUCUCAAUUGUAUCUCAAAAAUGAGAAUUAAUUCUCAAUUGUGCUAAACGUGUAUUUUUAGCGGCAAUUGACACUCUUUGUAUCUGUCCCUUAAACUUUUAAACGACAUUGGUUCUAAUGAAACUUAACUAAUGUCGGUAAAGACUUUAACACUCUUUAUUAGGCCUCAUUUGUUUGCACUUAAUGGAGGUCUGAAUCUAAAUCAUUCAAAUUCAGCUUAUUAAGUACAUUUGGUUUUAGGUUUGAAUCUCAAUCAGCCCAUUAAGUUCAUUUGUUUUAUUUUUAAAAAGCCUCUUAAUGGGUCUGAAGAGGUCUGAAUGAAUCAGAUCUGUAGGAGACUCUUAACAACAUUCAGAUUUGUUUAAUAAGUUAUCAAAUAAUAAAUAUCGCUUCUCUACUUUAACCGUGCUUUUUAUCGCAUAACUAAAAACUUUGUUUUUCUCUUUUCUCAAUCAAACGUCAUUUUCCCCUUCUUGAACUGAUAAAUUUUCAUAAAUCUUUUCAAGUUUUUUUUUAUAUUAAUAAUUUUCUUGUAUUGACUGUGUCAAAAACAUUGUUGGUGUAUUAGCUAGCGUUUAUCAAGGUUUUUGAAUGAAAAAAAUUUCCAAAAUCAUGAUUAUUAAAACUUUUUAUUAUCAAAAGCGAUAUAUUUUGUUGAAAUGAAUUUUUAUUAUUUUUAUUAGUUUAAUGUUAAUUUCACAUGCACAUUCAGAUAUUGAAAACAAACAAUAUUAAUUAUUUAGUGUUCAGAUUUAGAGACCACAUCUUAAUAUUCAGAUGUGUAUUCAGAUCAAAGUACCUGAAUCUUAAUAUUCAGAUGUGUAUUCAGAUUCAGACCUCUUAGUCUGGCUGGAAACAAAUAAGGCCUUCCGCUAUUUUUGUUGUAGUGAGUGGUAAUUAAUUAAAAUUAUAGUUAUAUAAACUAAUUAGCUAGUAUAUGUUUGCUUAACUAUACUAUUUUCCCAAAUAAGUUUAUAUUAUCCAUCAUAAAAUAUAAAUAACCACACGUAUUAGAAUGUAUAAAAAUAAUGUACAAUAGAGUAUAUUAGUAACACUUAUAUAUUAGUAAUAUUUGUAUUAGUUAUGCUUGCAUUAGCUAUAUAUAACUUUUUAUUUAUGCAUUGUUUGGUUUGAUGUAUUAAAAAUAGUACGCAUUGUAUAAUUAUAUUUAUUUACAAAAUAGUCUCCACAAUUAUGACGGAAAAAACGUAAAAUGUUUUUAGGGUCAAUUGGGUCUUUAACCAUAUUAAUACACAUAAAAAUUAAGAAAUUGACGCGACUCCUUAAAAAGGGCAUGUAAUUACAGUGGGCGCGAAAUGGCGUGAGCAUAUGUGAUGAUUCCCCAACUCAAUGCGGAGGAGCUCGUAAAGUUUGCUGAGAAAGUUUUUUGUGUGCUUUGAGCGCAAGAUCCAUGGGUUACCACAUAUGAAAAAUUAAGGAAUUUCUGUAAUUCCUAAAAAAAGGGCCUGUGGGUGUGGAAAUGAGCAAGAAAAUAAUAGCAUGAGCAUACGUGAUAGGUCCCAACUCAUGAAUUUGGAGGUCCUCAUAAAAAAUUUUCAAAUUUUUUUUGCGUGCUCAUGGCUAAAGAUCUAUGGAUAAUACAAAUAGAAAAUUGUGGAAUUUAAGCUAUUUCAAAAAUGGGCCUGAAGAUGCGGAUAUGAGUGAGAAAAAAAUGGUGUGAUCAUGCGCGAUGGUUCCCAACUCAAUAUAGAGGUCAUCCUACAAUUUUCUUAGAAAUUUUUUGAGUGCUCCAAGCGCCAAAUCUAUGAGCUAAUACAUAUAAAAAAAUUGAAGAAUUCACGCGAUUCACAAAAAUGACAUAUGGAUGCGAAAAUGUGCGCGAAAAAAAUGGUGUGAGCAUACAUGAUGGUUCUGCAACUCAAUACGGUGGUCCUCAUAAAGUUCUUUCAGAAACAUCUUUUGGGUGCUCCAAAAGUCAGACCCAUAGGCUAAUACACACAAAAAUUGAAGUAUUUGCGUGAUUUCAGAAAAGGCAUGUAUAUGCAAAAAUGGGAGAAGAAAAUGGUGUGAAUAUAUAUACGUGAUGGUUCCCAACUCCAUACGGAGAUCCAUAUAAAGUUUUUUGAGAAAAUAAUUUUUGGUGCUCCGAAUAUAUCGUCUGUAUGGUUGCUACGGAGCAUCUGAUUUGUAUAGAUCGACAUAUCAUUUGUAUUAAAGCGCAAUGAUUGUAUAUAUAUAACUAUAACAGAGGAGGAGGAGGGACUAGGGAAGAGGAGGAGGAGGAGGAGGAAGUUGUCUCAAUGUAUUUGAUAAAAUAGUUUUUGUGAUAAGAGGCGGACCCACCCUUUUAGGUAGGGUGCACGUGCACUUGUUAAUUUCGGUAAAUAAAAUCAUGAGUUUGUGAGUGUAUGUGUGUGUAUUGAUAUAUAUUGAAAAAUUGAGAGAAAUUAGAAUAUAAUUAACGUACUCAUCAUAAAAAGCAUAAGUAUAUAUGUUAUUGUGCUGCCGGUACAAGCUAAAGUAUGCACAUGCAAGACUUGAAUUUGAAUCUAGCUAGAGUGUUGUUUCACUUUUUUUUAUGUUAAGCUUAUCAUAGAGGCUAAAGCUUAUAUUUGAGCUAAGGUAAUAUUGGUGCACCAACUUCAAAUUCCGAUUCGCCUUUUGCAGCAUUAGUUAUUUUUAGCCAAUACGAUAACUAAAAUGGAUCGGAGGGAAUAUCAUGAUUUGAAUAAAGGAUCUAACCAGAGUCAAAUUUAAAAUAUAUUGAUGAAAUUUCUAAAAUUCCAACGUUAUAUCAUCCUUUUCUUAAGAAUUACCAAAUCAUAAUUAGAGUUGAGAAAAAUUUAAAGCAGAAAAUAACAUGUAUUACUAUAUGAAGAUUGGGUUGUAACAUAAGCAACCACCAAUGUUCAUUACAAGACUCGACAAUAUAUAAGUACUCCAAAUUACAAAAGAAAAGAGACAACAUAUAUAUAUAUAUAUAUAUAUAUAUAUAUAUAAUGAUGGAUCAAACUCGAUAGAUAAAUCCAUCUUAUUCUUCAUCUCCACAAGCCAGAUUUAGCUUUCAUCAACCUUACUGGACCCUGCAAUGCAAUAUUAAAUCAACAUUAAAUAUAUAGUAUGCGCGUACACACAUAUAUAUAUCGUUUUGUAACAUAUAAGUUUAAUCAAUAGUCAGACAUAUAUAAAUUACAAAUAAAAGAGAUAUUAUACUGUCAAUUGAAUAAGUAUAAUCACCGUACGUUGAGCAAUCAGUGGAAGGGCUGAUCUUGUAAGGAAUGUUGACUCCACAAACUCCAGGGAGCCCAGCGGCUUUUCCUGUAUCAAUGCCCUUAAUAGAAUUAGCUGCCGAUUUAAGGCAAGUGCACGCUGUCUUCCGGUCUUCUGGGGUCUUGGCUGCGCCCAAUAGACCCUUAACACCACCACAACACCCUCCUAGAGGGCCGCGACCCUCGAGAUAAGGGAGACAAGGAGCCAAGCCAGACGUAACCUCGCCGCAGCUCAGUGACUCUGCAUGGGGUGCAACCACCACCAUGCAAAAAACCACAAAGCAUGCAAUUUUUCCAAACAUUUCCAUUCUUAUAAAAAAAUUGAGUAAAGAUUAUAGAUAUAGUAGUACAAUUGUAUUUGUUUUGUGUGUUAGGUGUAAAAGCUAGUGAGUAUUUAUAGAGAGGAAAUUAGUGGAAUUAAAAAUGAGAGAAUUAGUUGGGAGUUAAGAGUUAAAUGAAAUGAGUAUAAAGUCAAAUUUCGUUUGUUACGUGACUAAUUUUUAUUGAACCACGCUAUACACGAUUUAAGGCCCAAUCCACAAAUUGUCCCAAUACUACUUUUCCUGUUACAGUGACGAAGUCAGAAAAUUUAAUUUAUCGUAAUCUUUUUCUUAAAAUAAUGUGUGUUCGAUGGCUCUACUCAUGCUUUGAAUCAUUUUAUUUUUUAUUCUUUAUGGUAUAAAGUAAAUGUUUUUUUUUUAGAAAAAAAAAAAAUACAAGGAGAAGAGUGGUUAUUAAAUAAAGAAGAGUAAUAAAUAAGGAGAAGGGUGGGAUGUAAAAAAGUCAUAAUACAUGAAAUUGAUUAAACAAUGUCUCGAGUACAAACUAAGGAGACAGAGUACCUUACUGUUAGAUGUGGAAAUAUUAUGGUACAUGAGUUAAUUUUGAAACAAAUGACCCAUUAAUUUCUUUUAAAAAUUGGAUUUAAGGUGUAAUGUUUAUUUAUUUAAAUAAAUCAAUUUGCUUUCAUGACUUUUUUUUUUUAAAAAUGAGUUUAAGGUGUAAAGUUUAUUACUUAAUUAUAAAUGAUUAAAUAUUUUUUGUAUGUUCAAUACAAAUGCUUGUUUCCGGUCAAAAAGAUCAUGAAAAAAGUAUACAAAAUAAUUAAACCUAUAGCAAAAUUAUAAUUAUGUGUUAUAGUUAUAAGUUGCAUAAUUUGCUCACCAUAGCGAAUAUGCUAUGGCUAUUUCGCUACAUAUAUAUAUAUAAAAGAAUUUAAGAUAUAUAUAUUUAUAUAUAUAUAUAUAUGUGUGUGUGUGUUAUAGUUAUAAGUUGCAUAAUUUGCUCACCAUAGCGAAUAUGCUAUGGCUAUUUCGCUACAUAUAUAUACAAAAGAAUUUAAGAUAUAUAUAUAUUUAUAUAUAUAUAUAUAAUAAUAUAUAUUUGCAUAAAUUAUUGUCCGUCUCUCGUGGCUGCCUUUCAAUUCAAUUUAUGUGUUUGUAUAUCUGUAUAUAAUUUGAAUUUGUAUACAAUUUAAUCGAAAUAAAAAUGUUGGUAAUCAAUCAAAAAUUGCUCUCUGUUAUACAUUGUAUUUUAUAUAAUCUAUACUUCUAUAAAGCGAGAAAGAGAAAGACAAAAGAGACCUAAGCAUGAGAAUAUUUGGAUUGUAUAAUUAUAAGUGUAUAGAACAAAAAUAUUUGUAUUUGCAUGUGUACAUACAUUUUCUUCCGCUUUGUACAAACAGAAACACAUUCAAAUAUUAUAAUCGUUAAAGUCAAAGUUACAACGGAAAAUGAAACUAACAAGAAAAUCGUAAAACGAUAAUGAACUAGUAAAACAAAGAAACCAUUGAAGAAGAGACUACUAGAAGGGAGAUGAGAAACACAGACUCAAAAAAAGGAAUGAGAGGACUAGACACUUUUCUACAAUAAUUUACGUAAUCCCUAAAUCACGUAUUACUUAUAUUGAAAGUUCGAACCGUUUUAUACCCACUACUCAAUUCGAAUCCCAAAUUAACCUGGUCCUAUAUUUUUAGCCCAAUAACAACUUAUAUGACAUUAAUAUCUAUAUUUGGUUAAACUUGAUUCAUAACAUAUUGCUCCUACCCAUAUUUUUAUUUUGUUGUGAAUUGAUAUUAAUUACUUUAUAAGCUAUUUUUAAAAAGGAAUAUGUUUAUUAUAAAAUGACAUUACAAACUUAAAAUAAUUUGUCAAAAAAAUUUAAAAAUUUGAGGCACACUAGAUGUGUACCGUGUUGUGAUAGAUGGGUUGUGUAGAGAGAGGAGAUUUACGAAAGCACAAAAUUGUUUGAUAACAUACUUUUUAAUUUGCUUUUAUAAUCCUCUUUUUUUAGAAAUAUUUUAUUUUUAGUUUUUAGGUAACAUGUUUAAGGUCAUAAUAAGACUAAAUGUCGUUUUGAUAUAUUUGACAUAACUUCAAUUUAGGAUCACAAGAUUAAAUUAUCUUUUUAAACUUUGUAUCAAGUUAAAUUAGAUUGUUAUUUUUUUGAAAUGAGAGAAAAUGAUCAAAUGACCCCUUAACGACGUAUAACCGGAUUUUCAACUAUACACUUAAAUUUUAUGGGAGUCCUAUCACCCUCUGAACUAUUUAAAAAUGAAAUAAUUAUACCGUUAAAAAGCCAUAACCACCAAAUCUAUGGUGGAAUGUGAGUUUCACCACAUCAUCAAAUUAUUAUUUUUUUAAUUCUUUUCUUAUAUAUUCUUACCUAUCUCUUGAAAUACUGAAGAUAUUUUCACCAUUUUCACCAUUACUAGAACACCACGAGUCCAUUAAAAUUGGGUCUUUAAGGAAUAAUAAUAAUUUCAGAGCUCGUUCAAAGAUAUUUGGAUUUUGCUCAUUUGAAACCUAAAAAUCAAAUUAGAAAAAGUUGAAGGGGGAAGAGAAGACGAAUAUGAUGGAAUAUUGCCAUUAAUGGUGGUCACCGAAGAUAAGAAAUCCUCUCAAGAAAGAUGAGGAAGAGGAGCCUACCAUGUCUUCCACAUUGUCAUCUAUAGCGACGACAAUUUCAAAAAAGAAGACACCGAUUAUACGACAAUUGAUGGACUAACUAGAUUAAUAGCUAGAAUUUUUGAGAUAUAGUUGAUUAAUUGAGAUUUGAUAUUAGUAAUUAAAGGAUAUAUUAGAAAAAAUUAUUUUUUUCUGGUUGGCCCAAUCAGAUUCAAAGUAAACUCAUAUUAAUUUUUCUCAAAUCAGAUCCAAAGCAUCUUGGGGUGAUAUAAAUAUAUGUCAUCAAUUGAUUUAGGUUGAUUGAUUUUGCAAGAGCUUUAUAAAUGUUUGAAAAUUUGUUUGGAGUCGACGAAAGUGAAGAUGGUGGCUGUAAGACUUAGGUGAUUGAGAGAUUUGUUUAUAUUGAUGGACAAGAAAGAAAACAAACAAAUAAUUAAAAAUGCAUAUAUUUGUUGAAAAAAGAUAUUCCAUCUGUUUCACAAAAAAUGAUUUGGUUUGACUUGACAUGAAGUUUAAGUAAAUAAAGAAGACUUUUGAAUCUUGUGGUCGUAAAUCAAAGUUAUGUCAAAUGUACAAAAUUAUCUUUUAAUUUUAUGGUCUUAAAUAUGGCACGUGGAAAGCUAAAGUUAAAAUGUUAGAGGUCAUUCUUUUGGAAAUAAACUAAAAUGGAAAGAAUGUCACUCUUUUUUAAAUAAAAAAGAGUUUAACUACUAUCCACCGACGGUGGACAAAAAAUUACACGGGCAUAUUAUUUUUGGAAAUAUUUAAUUUUUUAAUUAAUAUAUUUUAAUAUUAUAAUAUUAAAAUAAAAAUAAUAACAGAGUGUUAUAUGGUAACUUGAAUUAUAAAUUAAUUGUACAAAUUUAAUUAGGAUUCUUAUUUGUCUUACCAAAACAAAAAAUACAUAAUUUCUUGUGUUUUCUUAUUGGAAAGCACUUCAAUCCUUCAAAGAAAAUCAUUGCCAACAUAUUUUUUUUUAUAAGAACCGGUACUUGUUGCCAUUGAAGCAAUGCUAGCAAAAUAUUAAUAAGAAACUAUUCCAGAAACAUAAAGUGCAACAAAAUCAACAUAUUCAAACUUAUAAGAGUAAGCAAAACAAAAUCAAACACUAUUAAAUACGGCCCAUGAUUUAAUCACAAUUGCAUGCUUGGUUACAUUUUUUUAAACGAAAUCCUUCUUUUGAACAAACAAACUCUUGACCAAUAAUGGAUUUAUCUUUUCUUGAUCUACUAAUUCGAUUUUUGCGCACACUAAAACCAUUACGAUGAGCAUAAUCAAGAUAAAAUUUAAAUCUAGUAUCAAGUGAUUGAAAUUCCAUACCGAUGUAAGACUCUCUUAAUUCUUGCUCACCUAGUUGAGGAACAAAAGAUACAACUGCAUUCAUGUUGCUUUCUAUAUCCUCCAAGGAAUCUUCAAUUCCUUCUGCAUUUUGCUCUUCUAAAUUAGAGAUUUCAAAAGUUUCCUGCAAUACACAAUUAUUAGAUAUUAGACUAAUAGGGUAAGUUAGCUUUAAAAUUUUAAAUAUUUUUCAUGGCUAAUGUAUUGAACUUCUUCAAUUUGCUAAAAAGUUCUUAAACGUAUUCUUUAAAUAUCUUCAUCACUACAAAACAUAAAUUUCUUCAUACAUUAAAACAAGAAUAUUUCUUUGAAACGUUUAUUCAUGUUGCGAAAAAGAUUUAAUAAGUUAUGUAAAAAAAGAUAUACGAGGAAAACGCUACCAUGAUAAUUGUUUCAAAUUGCUUCAAUGGUGGAUAGUUGGUUGCUUCAAUGGUUUAUGUAGAAAAAGAAGAACGUUAAUCCAACUAAGAAAACACAAGAAAUUAUGUAUUUUUUAUUUUUGGUAAGACAAAUAAGAAUCCUAAUUAAAUUUGUACAAUUAAUUUAUAAUUCAAGUUACCAUAUAACACUAUGUUAUUAUUUUUAUUUUAAUAUUAAUAAUAUUAAAAUAUAUUAAUUAAAAAAAUUAAAUAUUUCCAAAAAUAAAAUGUCCGUGUAAUUUUUUGUCCACCGUCGGUGGAUAGCAGUUAAACUCUAAAGAUCAAAUAAAGUUUUAAUAACAGAUUUUGGUGCUCACUCUCCAGAGAGAGUCAAAUACAUUUAGGGAACUAAUUAUUUCAAUUUUGAAUAGUACAAGGGAUGAUUAGACCCCCGUGAAAUUUAAUUGUAUAGCGUUGAGGGCAUUUAAUCAUUUUCUCUUUGAAACAGAGAAUAUAUAUCAUUACGGAUCUAAUCUCCAAAAGAUGAAGAGUGAGUAAACCCUGAAUAAUUUGCGACAUUUAAUACGUUGUUUACUUUAAUUAAUGGACUUAUAAUAAUAAGUUGGAAAGGACCGAAAAAGUUUAAUAUAUAUUGCAUGGUGAAUUUGUACCUUCAUGAAUUUAUUUAAAAGUAUACUUUUUAUAGGCAUUUGUGAUGGUGAUGAUGUUAUAAGUAUAUUUCUCAAUAAUUAGCAUUAUACGUGUAAGAAGUGGUUAGAAAAAGGAGGUACCUAGAUGAAUGAGCACACAAUAGCGUAUACUAUAUUACUCGAAUUUGAUAUAUAUGUGUAAUGCAUAUUAAAAGAACCCUAGUAAAAGUAGACCAAAAAUAUUGAAUAGACGAGAGAGUACAUAUACCAAAUAAGAUAGAUGUGUAUUAUCAAAGAUUAGAUUAAUACAACAUAGCCAAUCGUGAAAUUUCGAUACAAGACUCGACUACACACGAUUUUAAAAGAAACACAGGAAAACAGAAAGUAACAACUGAUAUAAUAUAAUCAAUCGUCAAAUUUCGAAACAAGACUCGAGUACAUACGAUUUUAAACGAAACACAGAAAAAAGAGAAAGUGACAACUGAUACAACAUAGAAAGAAAGGAUCCAUAAGCAAGAUCAAUGCUAUCUAUCUUAUUCUUAAUUCUCCUCAUGAAACCAAAUUCUGAUGAUCAGCUUUACUGAACUCUGC
rnacentral:lncRNA from 1 species